rnacentral:rRNA from 1 species
UACAGAGGGGGCAAGCGUUGUUCGGAAUUACUGGGCGUAAAGGGCGCGUAGGCGGCCUGCUAAGUCGAACGUGAAAUCCCUGGGCUCAACCCAGGAACUGCGUCCGAUACUGGUUGGCUUGAAUCCGGGAGAGGGAUGUGGAAUUCCAGGUGUAGCGGUGAAAUGCGUAGAUAUCGGGAGGAACACCAGUGGCGAAGGCGGCUCACUGGCCCGAUACUGACGCUGAGGUGCGAAAGCGUGGGGAGCAAACAGG